rnacentral:rRNA from 1 species
UACGUAGGGCGCAAGCGUUGUCCGGAAUUAUUGGGCGUAAAGAGCUCGUAGGCGGCUUGUCACGUCGGGUGUGAAAGCCCGGGGCUUAACCCCGGGUCUGCAUUCGAUACGGGCUAGCUAGAGUGUGGUAGGGGAGACUGGAAUUCCUGGUGUAGCGGUGAAAUGCGCAGAUAUCAGGAGGAACACCGGUGGCGAAGGCGGCAUCCUGGACCAAUUCUGACGCUGAGGAGCGAAAGCCAGGGGAGCAAACGGG